rnacentral:rRNA from 1 species
UAAGGUGGUUAUAGCGUCGGGGCUCACCUCUUUCCAUUCCGAACAGAGAAGUUAAGCCCGAUUGCGCAGAUGGUACUGCGUCAUAGCGUGGGAGAGUAUGUCGCCGCCUUUU